UCGGAUUUAAUUUCCACUUCAAUCUGAUUAGAUUUAUUAUUCAAGACGUUUGAAAUAUACAUCGAUAUGUAAUUAUUAGUAACAUUUUAACGGAUUUAUGUUCAAUACAGAUUGGAACACGCAAAGACACAGUGAAGGAAUAUUAUAAUUAGUGGCGUUAUGGUGUGUGUAUAUGUCCCGUCCAGCCUUUGCUUGGUGAGAACGGGUAUCCGACCAGCAACUGAACUUCAGAUAAAACUUCACUUGGCAGCAAAUUAGAAUUAUUUAUUCAUGUUCAGCAGAACGGAUAGGUCGGAUACAACACAAAAGAAGGUAAUAAUGGUUAUGGUUCCAUUUACAUCACUACGGAAGUACAGUCAGUGGCAACACAAGUCGUCUCAAACAUGGCGGGAAGAAAGAUGCAAACAGUGUAUGUAAGUAAAGAGAUGGAAAGCAACUGUCAAUAUGAAAGACAUCUUUCUCAAAUGACUACUAGAAAUGUUUCACCUGACAUUUAUUGUGCUGUUGAUCAGAGCUGAAAAUAUCGCGAGGGAAAUGUUUUUUUUGUAUAAAAU